rnacentral:rRNA from 1 species
CCUACGGGUGGCUGCAGUGGGGAAUAUUGCACAAUGAGCGAAACCCUGAUGCAGCGACGCCGCGUGAGUGAAGAAGUAUUUCGGUAUGUAAAGCUCUAUCAGCAGGGAAGAAAAUGACGGUACCUGACCAAGAAGCCCCGGCUAACUACGUGCCAGCAGCCGCGGUAAUACGUAGGGGGCAAGCGUUAUCCGGAUUUACUGGGUGGAAAGGGAGCGUAGACGGUUGUGCAAGUCAGAAGGGAAAGCCCCGGGCUCAACUCCGGGACUGCUUUUGAAACUGUGAAACUGGAGUGCAGGAGAGGUAAGCGGAAUUCCUGGUGUAGCGGUGAAAUGCGUAGAUAUCAGGAAGAACACCAGUGGCGAAGGCGGCUUACUGGACUGUAACUGACGUUGAGGCUCGAAAGCGUGGGGAGCAAACAGGAUUAGAUACCCUAGUAGUC